rnacentral:tRNA from 1 species
GCCUGACUAGCCAGAUGGUAGAGCAUGUGACUCUUGAUCUCAGGGUCAUGCGUUCAAGCCUCAUGUUGGGCU